AGAGUUUGAUCAUGGCUCAGGAUGAACGUUGGCGGUGUGCCUAAUACAUGCAAGUCGAACGGAGUUAAUAGCAAUAUUGACUUAGUGGCGAACGGGUGAGUAACGCGUUGGUGAUCUGCCUCGAAGUGUGGAAUAACGUUCCGAAAGGAACGCUAAUACCGCAUGUGCUCUCGAUUUUUAGAAAGUUGAGAGUAAAGGAUUUAUUCGCUUCGAGAGGAGCCUGCGUCCCAUCAGCUGGUUGGUAGGGUAACGGCCUACCAAGGCUAUGACGGGUAGGGGACCUGAGAGGGUGGCCCCCCACAAUGGAACUGAAACACGGUCCAUACACCUACGGGUGGCAGCAGUAGGGAAUAUUAGAAAUGGACGAAAGUCUGAUCUAGCAACACCGCGUGUGCGAAGAAGGCCUUCGGGUCGUAAAGCACUUUUUGGAAGGAAUAGGAAGGAAUGUACUUCCAGAAUAAGUCUCGGCUAACUACGUGCCAGCAGCCGCGGUAACACGUAGGAGGCGAACGUUAUCCGGAUUUACUGGGCGUAAAGCGCGUGUAGGUGGUACUGUAAGUAGGGCGUGAAAGCUCCCGGCUCAACUGGGAGAGGCCGUUCUAAACUACAGAACUAGAGGAUGGUAGAGGGAGGUGGAAUUCCAGGUGUAGCGGUGGAAUGCGCAGAUAUCUGGAGGAACACCGGUGGCGAAGGCGGCCUCCUGGACCAUUCCUGACACUCAGACGCGAAAGCUAGGGUAGCAAACGGGAUUAGAGACCCCGGUAGUCCUAGCCCUAAACGAUGUAGACUAGGCGUCGGAAGUUUAAUCACUUUCGGUGUCCAAGCUAACGCGAUAAGUCUACCGCCUGGGGACUACGGCCGCAAGGUUAAAACUCAAAGGAAUUGACGG
rnacentral:rRNA from 3 species